ACUAAUAAAAUCAAGAAAUAAUUUUAAUUAAACCGUGCGUUUAAUUUAUGUAUAUAUCUAAACUAAAGGGUGGCAUUUUGGUUGUUUUCCCCAUAAACAUUUUGGUUACCCCGACGUGAUAUUCGUUUAAUCGGAGUCUGCAUGUCGGUUUUUAACAUUGUUUAAUAUCGUGUAAGCAAUAACUUAUUUUCGCUGUCGUUUGCUGCUUCUCAGUCACAAACACACGAACACUUUAUGUGCGCGCUGCCGGCCGGCCGUUUGUUUUUUUUUGAGCAUUUUUGUGCUGUGAAAGAAGCAAAACUGUGUUGUGCUGCAAACAUUAAACAUAAAAGGAAACGCAAUUAAUUGUUGUUAAACGCGUAUAUUGCAUACAUAUAUGUGUAAAUAGCCGUGUAUGUGUAUGGUCACAUACAUUACAUUGACAAGUCAAUGCGCUGUUGCUAGGCAAAAACUUCGGUAAAAAAAACAAAAACAAAGUCAAAGUUUCCGUUACGUUGUUGGUGACGCUCGGUGCAUUAGCAUUUGCGCGGCAAUAGGCAUAGGGUGUUUCCUGCCCUCUGAAUCCGGUCAGACAAUUAAAAAAAGAAAAUGGUUAACCCAGGAGACGCGAUUCAGCCUCAAAAUGAUGCUCCCAGUGACAUCGAGUUUUACCGAGCCAAAGUGCGUUCCGUUUUGCGGCAGUUAAACGCAAUGAAAGAUUACUUAACUGCUGGAGCUACUGAGUAGUUUGAUGAAUCUGAUGACCUCGCGCGGCUGGAAUGGGUGAACUCUAUGAACUUGGAAUUCGAUUCUGCACAGACUUCGCUGGAAAAACUGGACUUUUCGGAGAUUAGUAAAGAUACGCGGUUUGAAUUUUCCGCAAUCUUAAUGGAUUUAAGAUGCGCAAACUGCAUUUUCCAGAUUUAGGAAAUCUCGAUUGCCAAAUCUAGAGAUUGCUCGUUUUCAAGGAUUGUACUCAGAAUGGCCGGACUUUAUUGCAACUUUUACCAUUUUACCAUUCAUUGGAAAUGAUGACGAGCUAAGUGAUAUUGAAAAAUUACAAUAUUUGAGGUCCUCUUAAGGCGGCGUGGCUUUGGAAACCAUACGAUCACUCGAGCCCUCAAAUGAAAAUUAUAAAAAGGCUUUACAUUUAUUUAUCAAUCGAUUUGAUAAUAAAGUUUUACACUUUCAGGCACACGUUUUGGCAAAAUUUGGUUUAAAAGGUGUCGAGAAGGGAUCAGCUAAGGGUCUUCGGGAGCUCAGCGAUUGGAUGAAUUCGCAUCUUCAAGCAAUCCGUACCCUGGCCACUACACAACAAAUUCUGGAUGGAUUUCUCAUUCAUAUCGUGACACACAAGCUGGAUCUAAGGACCCGUGAAAAAUGGGAAGAUGAUUUGUCAAUCUCUGAGCUAUCUACCUGGGAUGCUAUGGAGUCGUUUUUGGAGAAGAGGUGCCGGAUGAUGAAAACUUGGACCAAACUGUGAGAACGCUGAAAAUUUUGAGGUGCUAACGCCAGCGCAUUUCCUCAAAGGUUCCAGCUACACAAGGUUUCCUGAGCCUGACGUUACUCAUCUUCGCGAAGGCCGGUUAAGCAGUUGGCAAAGAAUAACACAAAUGCAGCAGCACUUCUGGAAAAGAUGGAGCAGAGAGUAUUUGUCCCUGUUGCAAGAACGAAGCAAAUGGCGGAUCAAAACAUCCAACAUCCAAAUCGGUCGUGUUGUAUUGCUUCAGGAGGACAACCAUCCACCGAUGAAAUGGCAGCUUGGGUGCAUCCAUGAAGUCAUUCCCGGAAAGGACGGCGUCGCCAGAGUUGCUGUGGUCCGGACAGCUACAGGUCUUACCAAAAGGGCCGUCACCAAACUAGCCGCUUUGUCCAUCGAAUCCCAUUUGGUUGGAACCGUGCCUCUUCCAACGGGCGGAGUAUGUUUAGAGCAGACCGCCAGCACCUAGUCAAAUGCUCAUAGGUGUGCGCUGCAAACGCAGGGCUGUUAUGCAGCUUUGUUCUUCGUUUUUCUUAUCUCGCUACAUUUGUCGCGUUAUCUAUUCAGCUGAGCUACAGCGAAAACAUGUACACAAAUUUGAAGUCAAGCUUUUGGCAAGUCAGUUAUACAAAAUCGCUGCAACUCCGAGCACAGCUAAU